AGUGAACGCUGGCGGUAGGCCUAACACAUGCAAGUCGAACGGCAGCACAGUAAGAGCUUGCUCUUACGGGUGGCGAGUGGCGGACGGGUGAGGAAUACAUCGGAAUCUACUUUUUCGUGGGGGAUAACGUAGGGAAACUUACGCUAAUACCGCAUACGACCUACGGGUGAAAGCAGGGGAUCUUCGGACCUUGCGCGAAUGAAUGAGCCGAUGUCGGAUUAGCUAGUUGGCGGGGUAAAGGCCCACCAAGGCGACGAUCCGUAGCUGGUCUGAGAGGAUGAUGAGCCAAACUGGAACUGAAACACGGUCCAGAGUCCUACGGGAGGCAGCAGUGGGGAAUAUUGGACAAUGGGCGCAAGCCUGAUCCAGCAAUACCGCGUGGGUGAAGAAGGCCUUCGGGUUGUAAAGCCCUUUUGUUGGGAAAGAAAAGCAGCAGGUUAAUACCCCGCUGUUCUGACGGUACCCAAAGAAUAAGCACCGGCUAACUUCGUG
rnacentral:rRNA from 1 species